AUAUUUAUAUAGUAUAUAACUGUUGUUAUUAAAUCUCUUUAUGUUAUUUAAUAAAAGGUAAUUUUAUAGAAGAUAAAUUUACUUAUUUUGUAUUUUAAAAAUAGGUUUUAGUUAAUGCCUGGCGAAGCCUGUGCCAGCCGCCGCGGUUAUACAGGCAGGCAGAAAUUUUUUUUUUUAAAAAAAAAGAAAAGCGUUUUUAGAUUGUUUAUUUUUUAUAGGUGAAAUUUCUAAAAUUAUUGAAAUCGUUGAUUUUUACAAAAUUUGUUUUUAGACUAGGAUUAGAUACCCUAUUAUUAUAAACUUAUUAUAUUGAUAGUAUGUAUAGGUUGUGAAAUCAAAAGAUUUUGGCGGUAUUCUAAGCUUUUUAGAGGAAUUUGCUCUGUAAUUGAUGUGACACCAAUAUCUUACUUAAUUUUGUUUAAUCAGCUUGUAUAUCGCUAUUUUUAAAUUAUAUUGAAUAAUUAUAAUUGAAAGAGUUUUUUUAUUAGUAUGUUAGGUCAAGAUGCAGCAAAUGAUUAAGGUUGAAGUGAAUUACGAUAAUUUUAAUUGGAUUAAGUGAAAAUUAAAUUAGGAUUUAAGAGUAAAAUAAAAUUAUAAUGUUUAUUUGAAAAAAGCUCUAGAAUAUGUACAUAUCGCCCGUCGCUCUCAAAUUUGAGAUAAGUCGUAACAAAGUAAGAGUACUGGAAAGUGUUCUUAAA
rnacentral:ncRNA from 1 species